UACGGAGGGUGCGAGCGUUGUCCGGAAUCACUGGGCGUAAAGGGCGCGUAGGCGGCCUGGUAAGUAGGGGGUGAAAUCCUGCGGCUUAACCGCAGGGCUGCCUUCUAAACUGUCAGGCUCGAGCACAGUAGAGGCAGGUGGAAUUCCCGGUGUAGCGGUGGAAUGCGUAGAGAUCGGGAAGAACAUCAGUGGCGAAGGCGGCCUGCUAGGCUGUUGCUGACGCUGAGGCGCGACAGCGUGGGGAGCAAACAGG
rnacentral:rRNA from 1 species